rnacentral:lncRNA from 1 species
AUGCCAGUGUUUGCCCUUCUGAUUAAAUCACUACCCUUCAAUGCAAUAGCUGCUUUGCUCCACAGGGAAAAGUGUGUCCAUCACAUGCCACUCCAAGCUGCAGCUGAGAAGAAAGGCACUGAACUACACAAAUGUGUUGUUAUCUUUGAGAAGGCUGUGAAUAGAGACACAGGAUAUUUUGCCAAAUGGUGCUUCUGGAGAAGUCUCCAGCUGUUGGCAGCAGGCCUUCAAGGCUGCUUGAAGAAGCCUGAAUGGAGGCUACCACAUUUACCAUGAUCAGCUGCAUGGAUAUGCCACAUGAACACGAUGCAUUUAAUUGUCCCUUGGACUGUGUAUUUAAAGACAAAUUAAAAUAGACUCUUGUUUGGCAUCAGUACUGAGCUCCACUAUACGCAUGGAUUUGUGCAACUCCAAUUGCAGACUGAUGAGACUCCACCUUGUUAAGAGGAACUGGAAAUUAGGGUCAUGAUGCAAGAACUCCUGUACAUUGCCUACCAGAAAAGCUUCUCUCUAACCCCAAACUAAAGUGCUAUUAUAACCCUGACAAGUUUUCUGUUUAGCUUAGGGCUCAUUUGCUACGUCAGUGCACAUAGACAUAACACUGUGUUUGCCCUCAUCUAGACCAGCCUACAAGCUACAGUGUGCACACCAUUACAGAAAAUCAAGCAAAAUAUGUAUUGCUGUUUACAGGGAAGAGAAACCCCAGAAUCCAGCAAAAAAGCAGUGUCAGCAAGAGGUUUGAAGUCCAGUAUGUCACAAAAAUAUGAUGUUUAACCUGAGCCAUGUAAACAAGUUCAGUUUCCUUACUGUGCAUUUUGAAAUCAGUACCAAAUAAAAGGAGUAUAUGAAAACA